UUGAAACAAGGAAGUGGGGACAGCAUUUCGGUUCCUCUCUCAACUCUUACUUGAUAAAGGCUCAGAGAGGAGCCGAAAUGUUGUCUUCACUUCCUUGUUUCA